UUCAGGGCUGGCAACUUGGAGGAAGGAGAGUGCUGGGCUUUUAUAGGCGGGCCUGUGUGGUAUCCCGGAUGUUCAGUCCUUGGCACUUGGACCUGAUGCUCAGAAAAGAUUCAGCAGAAGUGAUAGGAGCCCCAGAGCGGGCCAGAGGUUCGGCCAGGCUCCAGGAGACCCCCGCUUCCCAGCCCUCAGCUGCAGGAAGUCAGGAAGGAAGCUGGAUGUUAUUAUGCCGACGUCAUGCCAUGUUGUCACCAUGUCACAGAAACUGCCAAAUCACUGAGUCCCUCCAGUGGGCGCCCCGAGACCUGCAGAGGCUGUGUCAGCUCCGCCCUCCUCCCCGCUCUCCUCUACGCGGCUCGCGUCCCUGCCUGCCCCCGUGCGGCCCUUUCUGGUAAUGCAGUGUUCGUCCUCACCACCUCCGCUCGUGCUCAAUUAACCUUGCAAAGUGAGACAUGGAGUCUAUCCUGGUCUGGAGUCGACUUCCCUCCAGCAAGAAGACCGUCACCAUAAAGGCCCAGAGUUUGGAUUGUGGAUCUACCUGAACGCACUGGGGUGCUUGUCAUUCAGCUGGCAAGAAGGCCAGGGAGGAACAUGGCACGGGAAGACCUUGUCAGAUAUCCCUGUCCCUCUCUUGCUCUCUCAAUAAAAAACAAAACUUGGA